GAUGAACGCUGGCGGCGUGCCUAAUACAUGCAAGUCGAGCGAACAGACGAGGAGCUUGCUCCUCUGACGUUAGCGGCGGACGGGUGAGUAACACGUGGAUAACCUACCUAUAAGACUGGGAUAACUUCGGGAAACCGGAGCUAAUACCGGAUAAUAUAUUGAACCGCAUGGUUCAAUAGUGAAAGACGGUUUUGCUGUCACUUAUAGAUGGAUCCGCGCCGCAUUAGCUAGUUGGUAAGGUAACGGCUUACCAAGGCAACGAUGCGUAGCCGACCUGAGAGGGUGAUCAGCCACACUGGAACUGAGACACGGUCCAGACUCCUACGGGAGGCAGCAGUAGGGAAUCUUGCGCAAUGGGCGAAAGCUUGACGGAGCAACGCCGCGUGAGUGAUGAAGGUCUUCGGAUCGUAAAACUCUGUUAUUAGGGAAGAACAAAUGUGUAAGUAACUAUGCACGUCUUGACGGUACCUAAUCAGAAAGCCACGGCUAACUACGUG
rnacentral:rRNA from 1 species